UACGGGGGGGGCAAGCGUUGUUCGGAAUUACUGGGCGUAAAGGGCUCGUAGGCGGCCAACUAAGUCAGACGUGAAAUCCCUCGGCUUAACCGGGGAACUGCAUCUGAUACUGGACGGCUUGAGUUCGGGAGAGGGAUGCGGAAUUCCAGGUGUAGCGGUGAAAUGCGCAGAUAUCAGGAGGAACACCAGCGGCGAAGGCGGUGCUCUGGGCCGGAACUGACACUGAGGAGCGAAAGCGUGGGUAGCAAACAGG
rnacentral:rRNA from 1 species